CAGCAGCCACGGUAAUACGGAGGGAGCUAGCGUUGUUCGGAAUUACUGGGCGUAAAGCGCGCGUAGGCGGUUACUCAAGUCAGAGGUGAAAGCCCGGGGCUCAACCCCGGAACUGCCUUUGAAACUAGGUGACUAGAAUCUUGGAGAGGUCAGUGGAAUUCCGAGUGUAGAGGUGAAAUUCGUAGAUAUUCGGAAGAACACCAGUGGCGAAGGCGACUGACUGGACAAGUAUUGACGCUGAGGUGCGAAAGCGUGGGGAGCAAACAGGAUUAGAGACCCCGGUAGUCCCUGUCUCUUAUAA
rnacentral:rRNA from 1 species